rnacentral:rRNA from 1 species
GAGAGCGGCGGACGGGUGAGUAAAGCCUAGGAAUCUGCCUGGUAGUGGGGGAUAACGCUCGGAAACGGACGCUAAUACCGCAUACGUCCUACGGGAGAAAGCAGGGGACCUUCGGGCCUUGCGCUAUCAGAUGAGCCUAGGUCGGAUUAGCUAGUUGGUGAGGUAAUGGCUCACCAAGGCGACGAUCCGUAACUGGUCUGAGAGGAUGAUCAGUCACACUGGAACUGAGACACGGUCCAGACUCCUACGGGAGGCAGCAGUGGGGAAUAUUGGACAAUGGGCGAAAGCCUGAUCCAGCCAUGCCGCGUGUGUGAAGAAGGUCUUCGGAUUGUAAAGCACUUUAAGUUGGGAGGAAGGGCAUUAACCUAAUACGUUAGUGUUUUGACGUUACCGACAGAAUAAGCACCGGCUAACUCUGUGCCAGCAGCCGCGGUAAUACAGAGGGUGCAAGCGUUAAUCGGAAUUACUGGGCGUAAAGCGCGCGUAGGUGGUUCGUUAAGUUGGAUGUGAAAUCCCCGGGCUCAACCUGGGAACUGCAUUCAAAACUGUCGAGCUAGAGUAUGGUAGAGGGUGGUGGAAUUUCCUGUGUAGCGGUGAAAUGCGUAGAUAUAGGAAGGAACACCAGUGGCGAAGGCGACCACCUGGACUGAUACUGACACUGAGGUGCG